rnacentral:rRNA from 1 species
AGAGUUUGAUCCUGGCUCAGAAUUAACGCUGGCGGCGUGCUUAACACAUGCAAGUCGAGCGAGAAAGCCUUUCGGGGUGAGUAAAGCGGCGGACGGGUGAGUAACACGUGAGAAUCUACCUUUUAGUGAAGGAUACCUUCGAGAAAUCGGAGCUAAUACUGCAUACGUCCUUCGGGAGAAAGAUGGCCUCUUUGCUAUCGCUAAAAGAUGAGCUCGCGGACUAUUAGCUAGUUGGUGGGGUAAUGGCCUACCAAGGCGAUGAUGGUUAGCCGGCCUGAGAGGGUGUACGGCCACACUGGAACUUAGAUACGGUCCAGACUCCUACGGGAGGCAGCAGUGAGGAAUUUUGCGCAAUGGGCGAAAGCCUGACGCAGCGACGCCGCGUGAAGGAUGAAGGUCUUCGGAUUGUAACUUCUGUUAAGUGGGAAGAAAGCUCUGGUCCUAAUCGACUAGAGUGACGGUACCAUUAGAGAAAGCACGGCUAACCUGUGCCAGCAGCCGCGGUAAUAC